ACAGUACAACUCCUACGGGAGGCAGCAGUGAGGAAUAUUGGUCAAUGGAGGGGAACUCUGAACCAGCCAUCCCGCGUGUAGGAAGACGGCCUUAUGGGUUGUAAACUACUUUUAUACAGGAAGAAACGUACCCUCGUGAGGGUGCCUGACGGUACUGUAGGAAUAAGCACCGGCUAACUCCGUGCCAGCAGCCGCGGUAAUACGGAGGGUGCGAGCGUUAAUCGGAAUUACUGGGCGUAAAGCGCAUGCAGGUGGUUUGUUAAGUCAGAUGUGAAAGCCCGGGGCUCAACCUCGGAAUUGCAUUUGAAACUGGCAAACUAGAGUACUGUAGAGGGGGUAGAAUUUCAGGUGUAGCGGUGAAAUGCGUAGAGAUCUGAAGGAAUACCGGUGGCGAAGGCGGCCCCCUGGACAGAUACUGACACUCAGAUGCGAAAGCGUGGGGAGCAAACAGGAUUAGAUACCCUGGUAG
rnacentral:rRNA from 1 species